GGCGCGCCCCCUGGACUGGUGAAACAGGCGGGGUUAGCGUAUCCACUGCUUCCUGGCCGCCAGGGCGGCGUGGAUCCCGGCCCCGGGUUUUGACAGCGGGCCCCGACCUCAGGUAACCGCGCCUCCCGCCGCCCCCGCCGCCGCCCUAUAUGUGGCGCGUCGCGGCUGCCGGGCCAUGGAGCACGCCUGCCGUCCCCCACAAUGGAGCUGGCCGAGCGGUUCCUGCUGGACGCGCUCGCGUACCUGGAGUGCGCCCUGGGCUUCCUGUGCUACGUGCUGCUGAAGCUGGUGGGCUCGCCCUACGGGCGCUACGCGUCGCCGCGCUCCGCAUUUCGGCUGCCGGCGCGGGCCGCCUGGGCGGUGCAGGAGCUGCCCUCGCUGGCGGUGCCGCUCCUCGCAUGCGCAGGCGCGCCCGCCGAGCGCCUCAACCGCUGGCCCAACUGCAUCCUCCUGACCAUGUUCCUCGUCCACUACGCGCAAAGGGCCUUGAUUUUCCCAUUUCUCAUCCGAGGAGGAAAGCCCAUGCCAUUGUACACCUUUAUGCUGGCAUUCAUGUUCUGCACCUAUAAUGGCUACUUGCAGAGCAGAUACCUGAGCCAGUAUGCGGUAUAUGCUGACAGCUGGCUCACUGACCCCCGAUUUCUAACAGGUUUUGUCUUGUGGUUGUUAGGCAUGCUGAUAAACAUCCACUCAGAUCAUGUCCUAAGGAACCUCAGGAGACCAGGGGAGACUGGAUAUAAAAUACCAAAGGGGGGCUUGUUUGAAUACAUCACUGCAGCCAACUACUUCGGAGAGGUCGUCGAGUGGUGCGGCUACGCCCUCGCCAGCUGGUCCAUCCAAGGCUGGGCUUUUGCUGUGUUCACCUUCUGUGUCCUGCUCACCAGGGCUCAGCAGCACCACCAGUACGUUUGAAAACACUUUUGGCGUUUCUAAUUUGUCCUCCGACCUUGGUAGAGCAACCUGCAGGUGGUACCAUGAGAAAUUUGAAGACUAUCCAAAAUUCAGAAAAAUUAUGAUUCCAUUUUUGUUUUAAGUUUGUUGUCAAUGGGGUUACCUUAAGCUUGAAGCUUUUCGAUCAUGUUUCUCUCAGGAUGAUAUAAAUGAAUUUAUGUCUCUGUAAUUUUUCUGCUACUUCACCUUUUUCAAGAUUUGCUCUAGGAUUGUGUAAAUGAGUAAACUAUCUAAUAACAGUAGCAAAUGUGUAAGCUACCUAAUCACAGUCUAAUCAAACUGAAAUGGCAGGUGGAAGUAUGACGCUGCAUACCAGGUCACGGAUCUGGAACUCUGUAAUUGCAGCUUGACCCUCCUCUGAUUUGUUUGCCUCUAUGGACCAAAACAUUCUCUACCCCUUGCACAACUCCCUACAGCAAUGGGUUUAAGGUCAAAGGUGAUGUUGUCCCCUCCCCCUAUGGAGGCGUGUUCUGUCUUCAUGUCCCUCUCAUCCCCCUAGGUCGGAGAGGCCUGGGUCCCCACAGAGUACCCACCACAGCCUCUCACUGUUGGGUGCUGGGCAGGCGGAGAAGUUGGGCGUAGGGAGAGGAGAGGCCCAGCGGAGGCCGGUGCAAAAGGCCUCUGGCACCUGCUCCAGCCUGGACCACCAGGUGACUUCACUGGCAGGACAGGGCACUGGGGGCAUUCUUAAGGAGCAAGCUGCUGUGUCCCCCAUGAAAGGGACUUACUUCCUGGAGGCCCUGAGCUGGGAGCACGAAGGUGCUGUGGGACAGCCUUCCCAUCUCGGGUCACUCGCCAUGAGCCAUUAGGAGUCUCUGGCUUGGGAUGAUUUUUCUUCCUCCUUCUAGGUAGAAGUUUUUAAAGGCACUUUUUCUUUUUAAGUACCUCUCAAUAUUGCAAAACUAUAAUUUGAAGCAGAAUUUCUUAUUUUAGAUGCACUCAAAACCUCCACGGAGAUGAAUGACAGUAAUAAAAUGUACUACUUAUUGCCAGAUAUGUAAAAGAAGUCUCCCCACUGGAAGGCUACCUACUGAGUCUCUUGGUCCCUCUGUGAAAAUCCAACGAACACAUGGUACAGACCCCUCCUCACCUGGGACAGCACUACCUCUAUUGUUCCCACAUUUGUAGGGGUGGGAACCGAGCAAGGUGUAAGUGGAGAGAGUCCGUGUGCACUUAUGCUCGCUAACGAUGCUGGGUGGCAGAGGCCUCCGGGACACGCCUGACGUUGCGUCCUGUAUGUUCUCCGACCGACUGCCACCUUUGGGCAGGGAGCAGGCCCUCCUGCCCCUGCACCCCGGGCCCCUGGGCACCCCAUCGGCUCCCUCCCGCUUCUCCUGGCUCACCUUCCCAACCAGGGGCUCCCUCCCCAUGAGGUUUCAUGUAGAAACUGUGUUCUUGGUGUUAGUGGUUUUUAGAGUCCCUUAGGGUUUUAGAAUUACACGGAAAACUUUUCCUGAUGUGGUUGGGCUUCAUUUUUAACUAAAAAUUGAAUGCUUUUGUGGGGAAAUUUUAUGAUCAAAUAAGCUUUGGCCCUUUUUCUGACUGAAUAAUUACUUGAAACCAUAAAACAAUAAAUAUUUAGGAUCUCCUCCAGAAAACUCAAAAAUCUGAGCGAGUCUUGACUGAUUUGGGCCUCUGGGCUCUGGAAGGUGUACCUGGCCAGAAAGAUGCCUGUCUGAGAGCUAGAGAUGCUCACUGUGAUUUUUACUUCUGUUGGUGCUUCUUUUUUAUUUGAGUGACCAAAAGUUUGGGUUAAGUGGGGAUUUGAGGCAUGGUGCUACUUCACUGUCAUGUGCUGGGUGGAUGAUUGACAGCACAAAAUCUUGUUCUAUCUUGUCUGCCUGUCUUCCCUUUGCUAAAAACCGUAACUGGCAAAUUAUGACAAUUUGUUAUUGUGUUAGUUAACAAUAAUUAAGGAGAUUAAUAAAAUUACUGGUAAAA